rnacentral:misc_RNA from 1 species
GAACAUGUUCCUCCACCUCGGCCAAAGAGAAAAGCAGCUCAUCCAUACCCACAAAAGGCACCUAAAAAUGCUCCAGUUGUCACCCAAGUGACUGGUCCAUUUCAAUCUUCAUCUGCCUCUUUAGAGCCUGGAUAUGUUUACAGAUCAGAUUCAUCAUCAGUUCUUGGGAAUUCAAUGGCUGGUGAAACUUUGACAAACUGGAGUUUUAACUCAAUACCUCCAGUCAAUGUGUCUCAAGUGACUAAAGAUGAUGUGGGAUUGGCUCAUCCAACAAUUGCACAUAAUUGCUGCUACAGUAGUAGCAAUGAGAGCACCCCAAGGGCUUGGCAAACUAAUGAAAUAAUUGACCAAGGAGAUCAAGGCAAGCCGAUGAGAGUUGUGCCAGAUUUUGCUCAAGUGUACAGCUUCAUUGGCAGUGUCUUUGAUCCCAAUGCCAGUGGUCACUUGCAGAAGUUGAAACAGAUGGACCCAAUAAAUUUGGAAACAGUAUUGCUGUUGAUGAGAAACCUCUCCAUUAAUUUGACGAGUCCCGAGUUUGAGGAUCAUAGAAGGUUGCUCAUGUCAUACAAUAUCGAGAAGGCAAAAUCUGUUGGCCCUUACAGCAAUUUUGUUGCUAAUAAAACUCAGAAUAUCCUUUCGGCUCCAAGAGAAGUGAGAGGCUGAAAAGUUUUUUUUGACUUCCUGUGUUAUAUGCAUAUGAUAACGUCUUGGGAAGCAUCUGUCCUUUGGUUGUUCACAACAAUAACUGCUGGGCUAAGGAAAAUAUCUGCAAGAACACUUUCAGAAUGAGUGGUGGUGUCAGAAGUUUGUAUAUAUUUGUGUGAUAUAAGAUGAUAUACUUUCUAGUGAUCUUCUGUGUGUGCGUGUGUGUGUAUACAGUUUUUGGUCUUUGGAAAUGUAGCAUAGUUUUAUGUUAAACGUUACGUUUCUCAGGCUAGUUGUAUACAGUUUUGAGUGUUAGUUUUUUAGCGUACAUUCCUGUUAGGUGUGCUUUUG